CCGACCUCCGCUCCGGUAGGGAUCCCGCCGACCUUAGCCUCCCAUUACGCGCCGGAAAUGAACCCACCAGGGAUCGCCCUAGUAACGCCGACUGAAGUGGUAACAGCUCAAAUCUGAACUCUGGCGUCUUUGGCGUCCGAGUUGUAAUUCGCAGAGGGCGCUUUGGCAUCUGCAGCGGUCCAAGUUGCUCGGAACAGGACGUCACAGAGGGUGAGAAUCUCGUACGUGAUCGCUAGCCUUUACCGUGUAAAGCCCCUUCGACGAGUCGAGUUGUUGGGGAAUGCAGCUCUAAAUGGGAGGUAAAUUUCUCUAAAGCUAAAUACUGGCCAGAGAACGAUAGCGCACAAGUAGAGUGAUCGAAAGAUGAAAAGCACUUUGGAAAGAGAGUUAAAAAGCUGGUGAAAGUUUCGAAAGGGAAAGGCUUGAGCCGGACUUUCUGUAGUGCUAGGGGUUUGUACGGAAAAAGAAGAGAAGAGAUGCUGAUGGAUCUCUUUCAACUGCCGUCCGA
rnacentral:rRNA from 1 species